GUGGGGAAUAUUGCGCAAUGGGCGAAAGCCUGACGCAGCAACGCCGCGUGGAGGAUGAAGGCUCUCGGGUUGUAAACUCCUUUCAGCAGGGACGAAAAUGACGGUACCUGCAGAAGAAGCCCCGGCUAACUACGUGCCAGCAGCCGCGGUGAGACGUAGGGGGCAAGCGUUGUCCGGAUUUAUUGGGCGUAAAGAGCUCGUAGGCGGCUUGGCAAGUCGGAUGUGAAAUCUCCAGGCUUAACCUGGAGUCGCCAUCCGAUACUGCUAUGGCUAGAGUCCGGUAGAGGAUCGUGGAAUUCC
rnacentral:rRNA from 1 species